rnacentral:rRNA from 1 species
UACGUAGGGGGCAAGCGUUGUCCGGAUUUACUGGGCGUAAAGAGCGUGUAGGCGGCCAAGCAGGUCCGUUGUGAAAACUCGAGGCUCAACCUCGAGACGUCGGUUGAAACCACCUGGCUAGAGUCCGGAAGAGGAGAGUGGAAUUCCCGGUGUAGCGGUGAAAUGCGCAGAUAUCGGGAAGAACACCCGUGGCGAAGGCGGCUCUCUGGGACGGUACUGACGCUGAGACGCGAAAGCGUGGGGAGCAAACAGG